rnacentral:lncRNA from 1 species
CGGGGGAUGCCCAGGGUCGGGGGAUGCCCAGGGUCGGGGGAUGCCCCCAUUCGGUGGAAGCCACGCGGGGUUGCAGACAAGCCGGGUCAGCCGUAUAUUUAUUGAGAAUGUUUGUGGAGGGAUAAAAAUAUUUCCACUACUCUAUAAGAAUUUAUAAACCUAUACUCUCUGAUCUGUUAAUAAACGCCUCUAGGACCGUCAUGCCAGGGGAGGGGCUUCCGUAAGAAAAUAGCGAGAUUAAAAAAAGGAAAGCGCUCAGUGUUCCCUGCAGGGCCCUGCCCCGGGGCGCCCUGCCCACGGGGGCCACGGCACCCCCUGCUGGCACGGGGACAUGGGGGGCGCAGGCCAGUGCUGCCCUGGCACCCUGCAGCCCCCACCCCGAGCCCUGGCUGGGCACAGCCCCCGCCAGCCACACCCCACCUGGGGCACCCCGACUUGGGGGCCCUGAUGGGGACAGGACACAUCCCCACAGCAGUGAGCUCCCAGUGAUCCCACUGCUCCCAGUGAUCCCACUGAUCUUACUGCUCCCAGUGAUCCCACUGCUCCCAGUGAUCCCACUGAUCUUACUGCUCCCAGUGAUCCCACUGCUCCCAGUGAUCCCACUGAUCUUACUGCUCCCAGUGAUCCCACUGCUCCCACUGCUCCCAGUGAUCCCACUGAUCCCACUGAUCUUACUGCUCCCAGUGAUCCCACUGCUCCCAGUGAUCCCACUGAUCUUACUGCUCCCAGUGAUCCCACUGCUCCCAGUGAUCCCACUGAUCUUACUGCUCCCAGUGAUCCCACUGCUCCCAGUGAUCCCACUGCUCCCACUGCUCCCACUGCUCCCAGUCCUGCCUGCAUCUCACACUCCCCUGUGGCUCUCCCAUUCCCAGGAGGGGGGUGGGAUCCAUCUCCCCACGGACGCUGUGAGAGGUGACCAGGGCUCACCCUGGGGACACAGUGGGGCUUUUCAGGGAGCAACACAGCUGGGGACAUCCUUGGGGACACAGGGACACUGCACAGAGCCCUGCAGGGUGGAGACGUGGCUGGGGACAUCCCACACGAGGAGGCAACGCAGCUCUGUGGGACAGCAGCGCAGAUGGGGACAGUCUGGGGGGGACAAGCUGCAGUGCUCUGUAGGGCAGCAACACCCACCAGCACACGGUGGGGAACACGGGGACAGCAGUGCUUCGCUGGGAAGCAACAGGGAUGGAGAUAUCCUUGGAGAAUACACAGGGCUGCCAAGAAGCAGCAGGGACAGGGACAUCCUGGGCACACAGGGACACCACAGACGAGCAAGUGGCAGCAGGGGCCAAAAUUCCAGCCAGAGUCGGUGCUGUUGCCAUGGGGUGAGGGGUGCCAUGAGCACAGGACACUUGUUAUUGCUUUACAGGGCCAACAUCACAGCGGGCUGGGGGUGCCCAGCCCCUGAUUUGGGGUUCAAGGGAUUUCCCCCGAUUCCCCAGUCUCCCCAUGCCCCAGCCCUGCUGUCACUCAGUGGGGACAGGCUGAGGACACAAGGCUGGACACUGACAAACUUCAGUCCCCCUGCACUGCUGCUGGCGUGGAGCAGGAUGGUGGCUGUCCCUCCUGCGUCCCCUGUCCCCAGGAACUGCUGCUCCUCCACGCCAGCCAAGGGAAGCAGCCCUGUCCCCGAUAGCAGGGCAGCUGGGCCUUAGGGGCACUGGCACCAGUGUCCCCCUUUCCUCUUCCCUUAAGCCAGGGCCAAGCUGAGCAUAAAGACUGUAAGCAGGGAGCCUGGGGUGACAUGGGGACAAGGGCCAUGCUGUGGGGACCAGGGCCAGGGCCCUUCCCAGAGCUGUGGAGAAACAGGAAACCAAAGCCUGUGGGACCAAACUGUGAGUAGGGGGACCAGGGCAGGGGAUCCCGGGUUGGGUGCUCUGUCCCUCGCUGUCCCCUCGUGUCCCCUCGGGGGGGGGGGGGGGGGGGGGGGGGGGGGGGGGGGGGGGGGGGGGGGGGGGGGGGGGGGGGGGGGGGGGGGGGGGGGGGGGGGGGGGGGGGGGGGGGGGGGGGGGGGGGGGCUGUCCCCUCGUGUCCCCUCGCUGUCCCCUCGUGUCCCCUCGCGUCCCCUCGUGUCCCCUCGUGUCCCCUCGCGUCCCCGCAGGCGCUGGGCGGUGGGAUAAGGCGAUGCCGCAGCGUGAGGUGGUGGGUGGGGGUUGGUGCCGAGUCUGGCAGCGGGGCGGGCAGGGGGGGGGGGGGGGGGGGGGGGGGGGGGGGGGGGGGGGGGGGGGGGGGGGGGGGGGGGGGGGGGGGGGGGGGGGGGGGGGGGGGGGGGGGGGGGGGGGGG